CCUACGGGCGGCAGCAGUGGGGAAUAUUAGACAAUGGGGGGAACCCUGAUCCAGCCAUGCCGCGUGUGUGAAGAAGGCCCUCGGGUUGUAAAGCACUUUCAGUGAGGAAGAACGCCUGGUGGUUAAUACCCAUCAGGAAAGACAUCACUCACAGAAGAAGCACCGGCUAACUCCGUGCCAGCAGCCGCGGUAAUACGGAGGGUGCGAGCGUUAAUCGGAAUUACUGGGCGUAAAGCGCGCGUAGGUGGCUUGAUAAGCCGGUUGUGAAAGCCCCGGGCUCAACCUGGGAACGGCAUCCGGAACUGUCAAGCUAGAGUGCAGGAGAGGAAGGUAGAAUUCCCGGUGUAGCGGUGAAAUGCGUAGAGAUCGGGAGGAAUACCAGUGGCGAAGGCGGCCUUCUGGACUGACACUGACACUGAGGUGCGAAAGCGUGGGUAGCAAACAGGAUUAGAUACCCGAGUAGUC
rnacentral:rRNA from 1 species